CGUGAGCAACCUGCCCCUGGCUCUGGGACAACCACUGGAAACGGUGGCUAAUACCGGAUACGACCCGCCUCGGCAUCGAGUGUGGGUGGAAAGUUUUUCGGCUGGGGAUGGGCUCGCGGCCUAUCAGCUUGUUGGUGGGGUAAUGGCCUACCAAGGCGACGACGGGUAGCCGGCCUGAGAGGGCGACCGGCCACACUGGGACUGAGACACGGCCCAGACUCCUACGGGAGGCAGCAGUGGGGAAUAUUGCACAAUGGGCGAAAGCCUGAUGCAGCGACGCCGCGUGAGGGAUGACGGCCUUCGGGUUGUAAACCUCUUUCAGCUCCGAAGAAGCGAAAGUGACGGUAGGAGCAGAAGAAGCACCGGCUAACUACGUGCCAGCAGCCGCGGUAAUACGUAGGGUGCAAGCGUUGUCCGGAAUUAUUGGGCGUAAAGAGCUCGUAGGCGGUGUGUCGCGUCUGCUGUGAAAACUCAGGGCUCAACU
rnacentral:rRNA from 1 species